rnacentral:rRNA from 1 species
AGAGUUUGAUCAUGGCUCAGAACGUACGCUGGCGGCACGCCUAACACAUGCAAGUCGAACGAAGUAGCAAUACUUAGUGGCAGACGGGUGAGUAACAUGUAGGUAUCUGCCCUUUGGCCUGGAAUAACACGAGGAAACUUGUGCUAAUACCGGAUAAGUCUUUACAGAGAAAGCUUUAUGCACCAUUGGAUGAGCCUGCACUUGAUUAGUUUGUUGGUGGGGUAAUGGCCUACCAAGACUGUGAUCAAUAGCUGAUUUGAGAGGAUGAUCAGCCACAUUGGGACUGAGACACGGCCCAAACUCCUACGGGAGGCAGCAGUGGGGAAUCUUGCACAAUGGAGGAAACUCUGAUGCAGCGAUGCCGCGUGAGUGAAGAAGGCCUUUGGGUUGUAAAGCUCUUUCGUCGGGGAAGAAAAUGACUGUACCCGAAUAAGAAGGUCCGGCUAACUUCGUGCCAGCAGCCGCGGUAAUACGAAGGGACCUAGCGUAGUUCGGAAUUACUGGGCUUAAAGAGUUCGUAGGUGGUUGAAAAAGUUGGUGGUGAAAUCCCAGAGCUUAACUCUGGAACUGCCAUCAAAACUUUUCAGCUAGAGUAUGAUAGAGGAAAGCAGAAUUUCUAGUGUAGAGGUGAAAUUCGUAGAUAUUAGAAAGAAUACCAAUUG